UUUAACCAGGUUUUCCGAAGGAAAAAACUGGUUAUUAGAUUGGCGAAUGCGGGCGGGCUGGCUGGCUGGCGGGCUGGCGGAAUAAGCUUGUCCGGGCCAUAACUAUGUCGUUCAUUGUCAGAUUUUAAAAUCAUUUGGCACAUUUGUUCACCAUCAUUGGACGGUGUGUCGCGCGAAAUAAUUACGUCGAUAUCUCCAAGGUCAAGGUCACACUUUGAGUUCAAAGGUCAAAAAUGGCCAUAAAUGAGCUUGUCCUGGCCAUAACUAUGUCAUUCAUUGUGAGAUUUUAAAAUCAUUUGGCACAUUUGUUCACCAUCAUGGGACGGUGUGUCCCACGAAAGAAUCACGUCAAUAUCUCCAAUGUCAAGGUCGCCACGACUAAAAAUAGAUUUAAAAAAAAAAAAAAAUUACAAAGGGGGUUAAUUUUUUUUGGUCAUUUCAAAAGUU